AGCCCCCUGCACGGUAAAUAGGGGGUGUCACCUGCCCAAUGUUUCCAUGAAUGGCCGCAGUACUCUGACUGUGCAAAGGUAGCGUAAUCAGUUGGCUUUUAAUUGAAGUCUUGUAUGAAUGAGGAUACGGGGCGGAGCUGUCUCUUUGGAAUUAUAUUGAACUUGUUUGGUAGGUGAAAAUUCCUUCCUGAGGAAAAAAGACGAGAAGACCCUAAGAGUUUUUACUAAAAAUUAUAAUUUUAUGUUUUAGCUGGGGCGGCUAGGAAGCAUAUUAACCUUCCUCUCAUACCUGACAGAAUUUCUUGAAGGAAUAAACUACCUUAGGGAUAACAGCAUAAUCUUUAUUGGUUUGUGACCUCGAUGUUGGACUAGGAAUGUUCUUGAUUAACCGUCAAGCUCAAUGGUUCUGUUCGAACUUACCCUCC
rnacentral:rRNA from 1 species